CCCUUAGAUGUUCUGGGCCGCACGCGCGCUACACUGACGAAGUCAGCGAGCAUGUCCUACGCCGACAGGUGCGGGGAAUCUUGUCAAACUUCGUCGUGAUGGGGAUUGAUUAUUGAAAUUCUUGAUCAUCAACGAGGAAUUCCUAGUAAGCGCAAGUCAGCAGCUUGCGUUGAUUACGUCCCUGCCCUUUGUACACACCGCCCGUCGCUACUACCGAUUGAAUGGUUCGGUGAAGAUCUCGGACUUCGAUAUUCAUUCUUUAUUGAGUUUAUAUUGUGGGAAGUUAUCUAAACCUCAUCAUUUAGAGGAAGGUGAAGUCGUAACA
rnacentral:rRNA from 1 species